UACGUAGGGACCGAGCGUUGUCCGGAUUCAUUGGGCGUAAAGCGCGUGUAGGCGGCCAGGUAGGUCCGGUGUGAAAACUCGAGGCUCAACCUCGAGAGGUCAUCGGAAACCAUCUGGCUAGAGUCCGGAAGAGGAGAGUGGAAUUCCCGGUGUAGCGGUGAAAUGCGCAGAUAUCGGGAAGAACACCUAUGGCGAAGGCAGCUCUCUGGGACGGUACUGACGCUGAGACGCGAAAGCGUGGGGAGCGAACAGG
rnacentral:rRNA from 1 species